rnacentral:rRNA from 1 species
UACAGAGACUGCAAGCGUUAUUCGGAUUCACUGGGCGUAAAGGGUGCGCAGGCGGUCGGGUGUGUCAGAUGUGAAAUCCCGAGGCUCAACCUCGGAACUGCGUCUGAAACUACUCGACUAGAGUACUGGAGAGGGUAACGGAAUUCACGGUGUAGCGGUGAAAUGCGCAGAUAUCAGGAGGAACACCGGUGGCGGAGGCGGGUCUCUGGGCCGAUACUGACGCUGAGGAGCGAAAGCGUGGGGAGCGAACAGG